ACCCCUAUGUCUAUUGCUUCAUAUAGGAUAGGUGUGUAAGGUCGUCAGACUAUGUCGUUGGACAUAGACUUUUUAUUUUAUUUUUUAAACACCAAACUUCUCUCAUCUUCUCAUCCUCUCACUUGGAGAGAAACACACAUACUGUUUUUGUAAGAGGAGAAGAAGAAAAUAAAACAGGGGUACAAACUCUGGGUGGCUGGAUGAAUAAGAAGAUGGCUUUGUCGACAACAUGGUUCCCCUGAUUGGUGAAAGAUAUGUUUUCCGGAAAGACAUGUUUAAAGGUGGAUUCACAAGCGCUGAUUUGAUUCGUAUGAGAAUUAAACGAAAACAAAAAGAAAAAUAAGCUAAAGAAAGAAAGACGAAGACAAAACGUUGAUGUCAACUUAUGGAGAUCUUUUCCCAUCCAAAUGCUCACUUAUCUGUCGCUAACCUAGCUAGUUGCAGCUUAACCCAAAGACACAGUCGUUGACAUUGGCAAUUUUAUGAGGGAGGACUUUAAAGAG